CCAAUAGCGUAUAUUAAAGUUGUUGCAGUUAAAAAGCUCGUAGUUGAAUUUCGGGAUCAAUAUGUCGGUCGUGCCUUCGGUACGUACUGGCAUCAUUGGUUUCUCCCUUCUGACAAACCAUGAUGUCAUUAAUUUGGUGUCGUGGAGAAUCAGGACUGUUACCUUGAAAAAAUUAGAGUGUUUAUAGCAGGCUAACGCUUGAAUACAUUAGCAUGGAAUAAUGAAAUAGGACGUUCGACCCUAUUUUGUUGGUUUCUAGGAUCGACGUAAUGAUUAAUAGGGAUAGUUGGGGGCAUUAGUAUUCAAUUGUCAGAGGUGAAAUUCUUGGAUUUAUUGAAGACUAACUACUGCGAAAGCAUUUGCCAAGGAUGUUUUCAUUAAUCAAGAACGAAAGUUAGGGGAUCGAAGACGAUCAGAUACCGUCGUAGUCUUAACCAUAAACUAUGCCGACUAGGGAUCGGAUGAUGUUAAUUUUUUAAUGACUCAUUCGGCGCCUUACG
rnacentral:rRNA from 1 species